CCUACGGGAGUCAGCAGUGGGGAAUUUUGGACAAUGGGCGCAAGCCUGAUCCAGCCAUGCCGCGUGCGGGAAGAAGGCCUUCGGGUUGUAAACCGCUUUUGUCAGGGAAGAAAAGGUUCUGGCUAAUACCUGGGACUCAUGACGGUACCUGAAGAAUAAGCACCGGCUAACUACGUGCCAGCAGCCGCGGUAAUACGUAGGGUGCAAGCGUUAAUCGGAAUUACUGGGCGUAAAGCGUGCGCAGGCGGUUAUGCAAGACAGAGGUGAAAUCCCCGGGCUCAACCUGGGAACUGCCUUUGUGACUGCAUAGCUAGAGUACGGUAGAGGGGGAUGGAAUUCCGCGUGUAGCAGUGAAAUGCGUAGAUAUGCGGAGGAACACCGAUGGCGAAGGCAAUCCCCUGGACCUGUACUGACGCUCAUGCACGAAAGCGUGGGGAGCAAACAGGAUUAGAUACCCUGGUAGUCCACGCCCUAAACGAUGUCAACUGGUUGUUGGGAGGGUUUCUUCUCAGUAACGUAGCUAACGCGUGAAGUUGACCGCCUGGGGAGUACGGCCGCAAGGUUGAAACUUAAAUGAAUUGAGG
rnacentral:rRNA from 1 species